rnacentral:rRNA from 1 species
AGCUCCAAUAGCGUAUAUUAAUGUUGUUGUGGUUAAAAAGCUCUUAGUUGAAUCUCUUCCUCUUUCUUUCUUUUUUCUUUCUCUUCUUCCUUCCCUAUAAUCUGUAGUUUUGCCAGAGGUUUUAGGGUGCUCUUAAUCGAGUGUCCUGGGAUGCUGGCAGGUUUACUUUGAAAAAAUUAGAGUGCUCAAAGCAGGCUGUUACGCCUGAAUAUUCGUGCAUGGAAUAAUAGAAUAGGAAGUCGUUUCUAUUUUGUUGGUUUUCGGAAAUCGACUUAAUGAUUAAUAGGGACAGUCGGGGGCAUUUGUAUUCAAACGACAGAGGUGAAAUUCUUGGACCGUUUGAAGACAAACUACUGCGAAAGCAUUUGCCAAGAAUGUUUUCA